ensembl:lncRNA
CUUUUUUUUUUUUUUAAACGGAGUCUUGUUCUGUUGCCCAGGCUGGUGUGCAGUGGCACGAUCUCGGCUCACUGCAAACUCCACCUCCCGGGUUCACGCCAUUCUCCUGUCUCAGCCUCCCAAGUAGUUGGGACUACAAGCGCCCACCACCACGCCUGGCUAAUUUUUUUUGUAUUUUUCGUAGAGACGGGGGUUUCACCGUGUUAGCCAGGAUGGUCUCGAUUUCCUGACUUCGUGAUCCGCCUGCCUCCGCCUCCCAAAGUGCUGUGAUUGCAGGCGUGAGCCACCACGCCCAGCCGAGGCCUUUUUUUUUUUUCUUUUAAAGAGAUGGGAUCUCACCGGGCACUGUGGCUCACGUCUAUAAUCCCCAGGAUUUUUGGAGGCCGACACAAGGGGAUCGCUUGAACCCGUGAGUCAAGACCAGCCUGGACGACAUAGCGAGACUUCGUUUCUGAAAAAAAUACAAGCAUUUUGAACCCGGGAGGCGGAGGUUGCAGUGAGCCGAGAUCGCGCCACUGCACUCCAGCCUGGGCGACAGACCGAGACCCCGUCUCAAACAACAACAACAACAACAACAACAACAACAACAACAAAAACCAAACAAAAAACCAAGCAUUUGGCAGGCAUGGUGGCGCACACGCCUGUGGUCCCAGCCACUCUGGAGGCUGAGGUGGGAGGAUCACUUGAGCCAGGGAGUUCGAGGCUGCAGUGAGCGGUGAUCGCGCUGGGGGACCGAGCCAGAACUUGUCUCAAAAAAAAAAAAAAAAAGAAAAAGAAAAACAAAAAACCGGCUAGUGUGUGAGGGGCGCGCGAUUUUUAAAAUGUGAGAGGGAAUUGUGCUUCACGGUCACCACCAGGUGUCGCGACAUCGGGUGCCGCGUCGUCCCGCGUCUGUGGCGCGGUGGCCUGAGAAACUAGCUGCAGAGCCCGCUCUUCCUAGCCUACUGCCCGAAAACGCAGAAUUUGGGGAAUUGGAACUUUGGAGGCGGGAGCGAAAGACCUCUCCUUCUCCCGCCGGAAAUACCCCUCUUUUCAGGAAGCGCGCCCCUGCCUUGCAGAAAGGAAGAACCGUGAUCGCGCCACUACACUCAAGCCUCUGGGUGACAGAGCGAGGAGACCCUGUCUCCAAAACACAAACAAACAAAAAAGCCUCCGACGCCAUCUUCUUGGCAACCUCCUGCUUCUGGGCCCAGCCAACACUGUUUUUGUGGUUAUCUGCUUCUUGUCCCCAAGCAUGAGCUCCCAGAUGUGUCAGAAUGACUCCACCCAGGCGGAGGCAGCCACCAACUGCCUGGUCAACCGGCAUCUCGCUGAGCUUCUACUUCGGCCGCGACGAUGUGGCUCUGGAAGGCGAACUGGCCAAAUGUCUCUGGAAGAUGCAAAGCCAGCGUAGCAGCUCGCUCUUUUGUAGGUCCUGCAGAUGAGAUGAGUGGGAUAAAACCCUGGACGCUGCAGGGGCAGCCUUGGCCCUGGAGAGGAGCCUGAACCAGCCUCUUCUGGGUCUUCAUGCCCCAGGUUCUGCUGGCACAGACCUCAUCUCUGGGACUUCCUAGAGAGGCCUUUCCUAGAUGUGGGACUGAAACUCGUCAAGAGAGUGGAUGAUCGCCUGACCUCUGCAGGCUGGCCGCCAGGAACCAGGGCAGGCAACUGUCUUUUCCAAAGUCUUGCCACCCUCAAGCACGACUGGGAGCCUAGCAAGCCCAGCGACCUCUGAGAGGCUCCUUUCAAAGGAUCAGCAUUUUUGCCUGCCUGAGCCUCCCACUCCAGCCACUAGGCAGCUUUUUAACCACCCUGGAGCCCUCACCCAAGCCUAGACCAAAUUUUCAGGGACAAAAGUGGGGAAGGGGCUGGGGUGGGGAAAUCAAAUUCAUGACCUUCUUAGGGUAAGGCUGUUCUAGGAAGAGGAAACCUGCCAUCCCACAACCCCUAGACCAUAAUAGCAUUUAUUCCCUCCAGGGAUCAACAAACCAGUGACAGAGAGACUCUGGAGCCAUUGAAAUCUACUGAUUAAGGCCAGGCAUGGUGGCUCACGCCUGUUGGCACUUUGGGAGACCAAGGCGGGAGGAUCACGAGGUCAGGAGUUCGAGACCAGCCUGGCCAACAUAGCAAAACCCCAUUUCUACUAAAAAUACAAAAAAAAAAAAAAAAAAUUAGCCAGGCAUGAUGGCGGGUGCCUGGAAUCCCAGCUACUCAGGAGGCUGAGGCAGGAGAACCACUUGAACCUGGGAGGCAGAGGUUGCAGUGAGCCGAUAUCGUGCCAUUGUACUCUAGCCUGGGCAACAAGAGCAAGACUCCAUCUCAUAAAAAAAAAAAAAGAAAAAUCUACUGAUUAAUGCCUGUCUUAACUCCAGUGUCAGUAGUAGCUUUGACAAAUGCCUUUUAUAUCACAUGACUAUACUUUGCCAAGCGUACUGAACACUAUAAUUGUUUCCUAAUACCCCAUGUGAUACCCCCAUGCUUCUUCAUAAGUUUGUAACACAUUUAAAAAUAGCAUGAUGCCGGGGGCGGUGGCUCAUGCCUGUAAUCCCAGCACUUUGGGAGGCCGAGGUGGGUGGAUCACCUGAUGUUGGGAGUUCAAGACCAACCUGACCAACAUGGAGAAACCCUGUCUCUACUAAAAAUACAAAAUUAACCAGGUGUGGUGGCCCAUGCCUGUAAUCCUAGCUAAUUGGGAGGCUGAGGCAGGAGAAUCGCUUGAACCCAGGAGGCGGAGGUUGUGGUGAACCGAGAUCGCAUCAAUGCACUCCAGCCCGGGCAACAAGAGCAAAACUCCGUCUCAAAAAAAAAAAAAUAAAGAAUUAGCUGGGCAUGGUGGGCA